GCGCAAAGAGGCCUAGCUAGGGCCAUGGCGCCAGGGCUAGAUUAAUGUCAGGCUAAGGCUCCAUUUUUAUAUGUGUGUGUUUUCAGCCCCAUUGUUGGAACAAAAGCGGAGCGAGCGAAGGGACGGCCAUCUUCCCACUGUCAAUUCAGAGCCCAGGAGGCAAGGGACUCCAUUUCUGAGCGCCGGAACCCAACGCCAAACUCACGCCAAGGACCCACAAAAUGGCCGCCAUUGAUCCCUAUCACCUGAGCGACAUCCAGGCAACUUCGGACCUCUAAAGCGGCGGCAAACAGGGACGCCGCCACCACCAUUAGCACCGCCAGAGGUAGCCCCAGUACUUCCACUAUUUCAAUGGAGCGAUGGACAAAAUUCAGAGUGUGUCCUCAAGUGAUGGAGGUGCCUCGUCUCACAGCGUAUUUGAGGGGAGACAUUUGGCGACAGCGGCGCACAUUUCAUGAAGCGCCAGGGAAUUGGCCUCCGCGUCGAGCAAAGAUUGCACUUAUUUAAACCCCAGCUUCUCAAAGCAACGUAUUCGCCCUGACGCCCCAAGUGACCCAGAUCCUGAUCACUAUGCCGCCAGGGAGAAACAUCACAAGGAGUUGCGCCAGAUUUCGGCUUCUAGAGACAACCGGUGAACUUGGAUGAGUAUCUCAUCCAUGCCUGGAGUUGGAGCCCAAUCCCGAUGAUAAGAAGCCAGAAGAUAUGUUUUGCGACUCCGCCACAAAAACACCAAACUCACGCCAAAGACCCUCGGAGAACAAAAUGGCUGCCGUCAAUCCCAAUCACCAGGCAACUUUGGAUAUCUAAGGCGGCGGCAAACGGGCACCGCAACCACCAUUAGUGCCGCCAGAGAUACUCACAGUACUUUUGGGAUCUGUCAUGGUCCCCCAACUCC